CCUCUAGUUAUCUUUAGAGUCAUUCUCUGGAUUAGUGAAGCAUCGUAGUGUUAUCCUGUUCGGUUUUGCUUGGUUCCUCGCUACCUGGGCAGCUAGAAGUAAUUUCUCCUUUUUCGGUUGCUCUUGCUAAAGGUAUUUGACUUGUGACUGUUGUACAGAGUUUCAUGAAGGAAACUACGCUAGUGAUAAAUGGAGGUCAAAAUUCUCCAGCCAGAAAGUCCCCUCCAACAACUCAAAAACGGACUACUCACCCCAUGUUUUAAUUAACAGUUGUGGAUUGGAAUAGUGGAGACCCCGAAAUAUGUUUUUGAGGUGAGACAACAGCAACCUGGCGUUACUGAUAUACUGCACUUUAUGCCAAAAGUUUUCUUGCUUUGAUUAAAAGGUUUAAUUAGUUAACAUUAUUUCUCAGUAAGAUCACAUGUAAAUAUGAAUGUCUUUUCCAUUCUAAUAGAAAUGCAGACUUGGGUUUGCAUGCCAAAAAUUCUGAAAUUAAUUGUACAGACAUUAAGCAGUUGACCUUGACCGGGUGGAGUAUUAAAUUCCACAGGGUUCUUAAAAGACCGGUAUAAAGUGGCUUAAUGUAAUCUAAAAUCAUAUGUAGAGCAUAACGUGCCAUCUAUUGGUUAAUAUUUAAGUGUUUUGUUGUUUGUCUGAAAUUACUCUUAUAAUGUUUUUAUGGUAACUGUAGUAAAUUACUCUGCAAGUGACCAUAAUCUUCGAUAAUCGAACUGUAAUGGAUUAAGAAUUGUUGAAUGAAAGUCAAAGCCCAUAAAUGGUCACUAAAAUAGUCAAUUGACAAAGCGCUCGAGAAGCUUCAAUAUUGAACUUAAACGUUACUUAACCUCUUGCUUAUAUGUCUUGAUCCACACCCUCAACAAUUUAUACCAAUAUGUUUCCAUAUGGAGAAUUCUCUUUUGACGAAGGUUAUCAGUUACAAUUUCACCUGUGAGCAAAUUUUCGAGGUAGUUUUAUACUGAACGAUAUCUCGGUCGGUUAUGAGUCUUAAUGAUCGCGGCUACAUUUCCGGCUAAACUAUAUGGGGGUA